CCCUUGUAGUACUGGGACUCUAACCAUAGGCCAUGAAUCUGGUCUUGGGACACUGUCAGGUGGGCAGUUUGACUGGGGCGGUCGCCUCCCAAAAGGUAACGGAGGCGCUCAAAGGUUCUCUCAGUACGGUCGGAAAUCGUACGUAGAGUGUAAAGGCAAAAGAGAGCUUGAUUGCAAGACAUACAGGUCGAGCAAGGAUGAAAAUCGGACUUAGUGAUCCGGUGGUUCUGCGUGGAAGGGCCAUCGCUCAACGGAUAAAAGCUACCCUGGGGAUAACAGGCUUAUCUCCCCCAAGAGUCCACAUCGACGGGGAGGUUUGGCACCUCGAUGUCGGCUCAUCACAUCCUGGGGCUGUAGUAGGUCCCAAGGGUUGGGCUGUUCGCCCAUUAAAGUGGUACGCGAGCUGGGUUCAGAACGUCGUGAGACAGUUCGGUCCCUAUCCGUCGCAGGCGUAGGAAAUUUGAGAAGACCUGUCCUUAGUACGAGAGGACCGGGAUGGACG
rnacentral:rRNA from 1 species